CCCCCACCCCCGGGCUGCGGCCCCGUUCCCGUCCCGCACCCACGUUCCUCCCCUCCCGGCACUCGUCCGAGGCCGCCGCGUUCCCCCGUCUCUGAGAGCCCAUGUAGAGCGCUUUAAUUGCCACAUUUUCAAACCGUGGCAACGGUGUGGCUGUCUUAGUAAUUACCUUAAUGAGAUAACACCUUUCCUUCCCUCAACCUACUCAUUAUCACGCCUCUUGUUCAAAUUUCAGCUAUAAAGAGCUAUACUUAAAAAAAAAAAAAAAAAAAAAAGAAGAAAGAAAAAGAAAAAGAUGAUGUGGGGAGAAGUCUGAAAUUUGUUUGAGGUCUUGUCCCUUAAAACAAGGACCUUACACGGAUCACUGGCAUACAAAGAGAAACAUACACCCAUUCCAGGAAAGGCUGGUAGAAGUAACCAAACAUCUGGGGUACCCCUUAAUUAUUCUUGGUUGGCUCCUUUAGCUUGACCUGUAGGGAUGUGAGGGUGUCAAAGUGAUGAAUUUUAAGAUGUUGGGCUGUGAAGACGUGCAGCUGCAAGACUGAUGGAUUUAGGAAGGGGAUGGUAACAAGGUUAGCUGCAUGUGAAGUGUGAAUUGAGAUUUUUGCAAAGAGACUGUGAUUGCAGAUGGGCAUAAUGUUGUACCCUUGCAUGAAAUCUUGCUAUUAUUGUAUAAUGGUCAGACAGAGUGUGAAAUGACUUACUACUUUACUUUUACUCUUUAAUGAAGUUGGGUAGGGGAGGAGAACUACCAGGAAAUCGAUAGUGGUUGUGAGCGGAAACUCUAUGACAGGUGCUGAGACAUUAAAUAUUUAUUUAGCUUUUUGCUCCCUUCCUUCCCUUCUCCCCUCCCUGAUUUUUUUGCUGUAUCAGAACGCAAACAAAAAUACAAGACAGGAUCUGGACAGAGAGGAAGAUGCUUUCUUUACCUCACUUUCUGCAGUACAUAAGAAACGGGUAUUGCUGAGUGGCAGUGCGGCAUGUAUGUGCUCUAUGUAAACUAUCAGACAGCUCUCUCCAUCCAGGCUGCAGACACACACUUUCUAGAUAGGUGUUGAGCUGCUCAACAUGUAUCCCUCUCCUAGACCCUGCUGCCAGCAUGUGGUAAGUUGUAGCACACUGCUACGACCCCAUAUGAAUUGCAGCGGGCUCCUCUCCAGCUCAACGUCUCGUUCUUCGUUGUGCACCGAGCGGAGCUGCCCACAUGGUGCUUUUAUUCCAGGAGGAUGGAGCAAAAUAUCUGCACCUGCUCUUCUGUGCAGCGCUGUGCAGGUACCUUUGCAGACAUCUUGUCAGCAGUGUCACACGUGGCCAGGGCAGAACAGCUAUUAGCAGAAUUUAUGAUUCCGUUGUACAGCUGCACCAUUCUCUGUGAAUAUGUAGUGAGGAAAAGGAAAUGGAGCUGCUCCCUCUGGGUGCUGUCCUAAAAAAGAGGAUUCCCCAGCUGACUGAACCCAGGCACUGCUGAGGACGGUCUGACAAACGCUGGCCCUGCACCUGGGCUUAGCGAGCUGCCUUCCUCUCACCGAGCAGUUCAUCUCCCUGUUUGACACAUGUGGCAGAGGUGUAGCUUCUCGAAUGCCUUCUCAGCAGCACACAGCUCCAGAGCUCUUGGAUGGGGCCUCUGCCCCAGGGCCUCCCCCGGCACCUUUCCCCACAACAGGUGCAGCCCCUCCCUGGAGCUCUCAGUGAGGCUGUGCCCUGUGUUUGCCAUGGGGGUUGGCACUGUUACCUCCUCACCAGAAGUCGGGAAGAACAAGAAAGCUGGGGAAUAACUGCCUGACUGGUCUGUGUUAGCACACGGGACUUAACGAAGGCAGUACUGUGUGGAGCAGGGAACAUGUCUGAGACCAGUCUUUGACCUUACAGUUCAUCAGCUUUCAUUCUGGUGCUUGUGCCUCAGUGCUGAGUGAGUACAGAGUUAUGGAAGGGAGCCCCGCUGCUACGUAUUAACAUCCCGUCACAGGGUCCUCUUUCUCCUCUGGGUGAGGUAAAGGUCUCUGAGAUGUGCAUGGGUUUGUUUCAAGUGGUGUCCUGGCAAUUUGGGAAAGGAAAGCUGAGGAAGCAGCCCAUGGGGGGACUUGCCACCAGUAACCAGGCUGGGUACUGAGUUCGGGUACUGAGUUCAGGUACUGUCUUCAUCCCUGUAUUAAAACAGUGCAGCCUCCUGCAGCCUCUUGCAGCCGGAGCAGAGCAGUGCAGUGUGACACUCAGCGCUGUGCCUCUUCCAUGGAGACUAAGCUCAUUACAGUACAGUAUUCUAAAACAUGCUUAACCUCUCCAGGCUUGGGUGUUGUAUCCCAAAUCUACUGUGGAGCAUGGACACCCCAAUUAGCACUUACAAUGCACUGUUGACAUUUCUCUGGGCCAGCCCACCAGGAAUAAUUAGAUGUGAUAUCUAACACAAACUCUUUUUUUUUUUCCAGCAGAGGGUACACUGAAAAACGAAAGCAGCAUCGUCUGCAGCGGUGCCUGGUCCGAUUCAGCUCUCUCACUGACAGAUGUGGGGUGGCUGGGUUGGCUUCUCCGUGCCCAGGACUUCAGGGUUGGGCCUGGGGUUGCUUCUGGAGAUGGGGAUAGGUUGCACCAGGGAGCUGUCUCAUGCUGCGUGGACCUGGGAAGGGGCUGUAUGGCCCUCAGCAUGAGGUGUGAGUGGUGGCAACUGCUUGUAUAGGUCUUCUCUUAUUUUGGGUGUCAGAUGGCCACUGGAAGGGUCACUCUUGCUGACCGUUUGGGCCCCUCUCCUGGUGCAGAAAGCUGUGGGCUGGGUGAGGAACAGCAAAUCUUCCAUUUGUGAACAUCUUCCUCAGCAGCGGUAUGCGUAACAGCAGCAGCAACGUGCUGCGCUAUCGCAGGCCAAAAGGCCUAUGGAAAAAUACGUGUGACAGGGAAGAGGAAGAAGCAGUGUGCUGCAAUGCAGCAGGAAGGCGUCUGUCCUGUGCCACUGCUCAUCGCAGUGGGUAUGAAGGUGUAGGUGUACUCAGUGAGUACUCCUGUUAGAAGGUGGUGGAGCAUUUGGCUUUGGUGCUGUUUCUUGCCUACGUUAAUGCACUGCAGGCUGGAACUUGGAAAGAACUUGGCAGAGUGAAGAGGAAAUGAAAAUGAUAAUUUUUCAUGUAAUAGAGAUCACAUAGAGAUUGCCUUUGUUGUUCACAGCAUUUCCAUUCCAGGAUGCUCGGAGAAUUAAAGCAUACAAAUAGAGAAAAUCUGCAAAGCGUUGUCAGGUAUUAUUUAUGUAUUAUUAUUUUUGUUGGAAGAGACAUGUAAAUAUAAAGAAUUAGAAAAAGGAGCUACUAAAAUAAAAUAUAAUGGAAACCACAAUAAAUCUAACAUGAGAAUAAAAGUAUAAUGAGAACACAUUUUCUUCAGCAUAAAUACAAAUCCUGUCUGCAUGCUAAAGCCCUAUUAAUUGGAUACUUACUAGAGGAAUAAAUCUUUAAAUGUGUAAAAAAAAUCUUCCUGCUCUGUGAUGAAAUAUAAAUAUCACCAGAUUUAUUAAAGAAAAAAAUCUGCUAAACGACUCCUUCUCUUACAUACUAAUUUAUGCUUAUUCUACAUCUGAAAGAACUCACCCUGACGUGAACAUCAGCUAAACGAAGGGAGCUGCAGAAGGAGAAGGUUUAAUGUGGAUCACGAGAAGUCUCUUCGAUCAGGCACGGCAGGUUUCAAUGAAGUUUUAUGUUAUAAAAUAGAGGAAAGGUGAUAGUCUCUUAAGAGACAUAAUACUUAUCCCACGAGUGAUAUAAUAGUUCAUAAUUCACCAGAGAACAAGGCUCAAGUGAGUCAUAUAUAUUUUAUGGCACAAUUGGGAUUAAUACCGUACUUCAGAGAGGCAUGCAUAACCUGUUCUAUUUAUAUGGAGAGACGGUUUAAAAUUCACCCUCUUCUCACACCCUUUUCUCCUACCCUUUGGCACCAACUUAUGAGAGAGGGACUUGAAAAAAAAUGAGUGUGGACGUCAGGUGAAAAACAGACAUGGGAUCGAGGGAUGCUGCAGAGCCCUUUGUCAGGAGCUGCACUGAUGCUGCUGCGGCAAUCAGAAAAGUUGACCGUUCUCUGUGCUGUCUGCAGGGUGUGAUGGCCAU
ensembl:lncRNA